AUGAUUGGCUGGAAAGGAACCCUUCCGUCCCCCGCCCCUACAUGUGGCUUAGGGAGCGGACCAGGUGGUGAGAAAAGGAGGAGGAUGGAAAAAGAGUGAAAAAAGGAGGGGAGGAAGAGGGGGGAACCUAUGUCCUUAAAUAGGAUGAUGAUGUGCGGGAGACGCACAGCUCGAGUGUUCUGAGAAUGGCUGUAUGACUGGAGGCGCUUGCUUGGCGGGGGGGGGGGGGCUCUAGUUCUGCCCUCACGUUGAGCGCCUCCGCUCACGAGCGCAGCACGUGGAAACCCUCAGCGAUUUAAGUCUGCAACGUGUGUGAAGGGAAGGGUGAUACGGUGUAUCCGCUCCUCUCUCGGAGGCCCAGCCCUCGUGACUCCCUGGACUCUCUCUCCUCUCCUCUCUCCCUCUCUCCUCCAAGUUGGUGGUGGUAGUGGGGGUGGGUCAGUGGUAGAGCGCCGGCCUAGCAUAUGCAAGGCCCUGGGUUUAUUCCCCAGGACCACCACCAAAAAGAAAAACAAAACAAAACAGAAAACCAACUCCUCCGAGUUGAGUGCCUCCUGCCCUGCUGGGUGAGGGUGGGGAUUGCAGCCGAGAACACCGCGUCCUGUCCCAAGCUCCCGCUGGGGCGGCUCUGCGAGCACAUUCCUUACAUAACCUGCCGCGCACGUUACCAGCUCAGAUGCCAGCCCGCCAAGACUCUAGAGGUCAACGCCGAACUCGGUUGGUCCUUGACUUUUCUCCCGGGCUCUUUGGGCUUUGCGCCCUGAAUUUUCUGGUUCUGAGCACCGGGAACAUUGGGACACACAUCCCGCCCUGGAGGAGGAGCCCCACCAGGAGGAGGGCGACAGGACUCUGCAGGCUGGACACAGCAGCACUCAGGGAUGGACUCUGCUAAAAUACAGACAGCCCCACAGCAGGCCGCAUCAGCCUUCCCACACCCCUCCAGAAGGGACUCUGUCUUCCAGAUCUCCGCAGCCCCCUACACUGGGGGCCAGCAUAGAUGAGCUCACCCGCCGCUGAACUGCACCUCGCACCCUCUCAUUUGUUCCCCAGCGCCCUAUCAUGAUAGAGGACCUGGUGCAGAAGCUGGGGGAGAAGGGUGGACUUACCCAAGAUAAGUGGCACCACAAGGAUGGCUACGAAGAGGAGAUCCAUUCUGGAUUUUGCACUGUCGUU